ACGCUAGCUACAGGCUUAACACAUGCAAGUCGAGGGGAAACGGCAUUUAGUGCUUGCACUGAAUGGACGUCGACCGGCGCACGGGUGAGUAACGCGUAUCCAACCUUCCCAUUACUUUGGGAUAACCUGCCGAAAGGCAGACUAAUACCUCAUAGUCUUCGAUGACGGCAUCAGAUUUGAAGUAAAGAUUUAUCGGUAAUGGAUGGGGAUGCGUCUGAUUAGCUUGUUGGCGGGGUAACGGCCCACCAAGGCAACGAUCAGUAGGGGUUCUGAGAGGAAGGUCCCCCACAUUGGAACUGAGACACGGUCCAAACUCCUACGGGAGGCAGCAGUGAGGAAUAUUGGUCAAUGGACGGAAGUCUGAACCAGCCAAGUAGCGUGCAGGAUGACGGCCCUAUGGGUUGUAAACUGCUUUUGUAUGGGGAUAAAGUCAAUCACGUGUGAUUGUUUGCAGGUACCAUACGAAUAAGGACCGGCUAAUUCCGUGCCAGCAGCCGCGGUAAUACGGAAGGUUCGGGCGUUAUCCGGAUUUAUUGGGUUUAAAGGGAGCGUAGGCCGGAGAUUAAGUGUGUUGUGAAAUGUAGACGCUCAACGUCUGACUUGCAGCGCAUACUGGUUUCCUUGAGUACGCACAACGUUGGCGGAAUUCGUCGUGUAGCGGUGAAAUGCUUAGAUAUGACGAAGAACUCCGAUUGCGAAGGCAGCUGACGGGAGCGCAACUGACGCUGAAGCUCGAAGGUGCGGGUAUCGAACAGGAUUAGAUACCCUGGUAGUCCGCACAGUAAACGAUGGAUGCCCGCUGUUGGUACCUGGUAUCAGCGGCUAAGCGAAAGCAUUAAGCAUCUCACCUGGGGAGUACGCCGGCAACGGUGAAACUCAAAGGAAUUGACGGGGCCCCGCACA
rnacentral:rRNA from 1 species